rnacentral:rRNA from 1 species
GUUCCAGCCGCCGCGGUAAUACGGGGGGGGCAAGCGUUGUUCGGAAUUACUGGGCGUAAAGGGCUCGUAGGCGGCCAACUAAGUCAUACGUGAAAUCCCUCGGCUUAACCGGGGAACUGCGUCUGAUACUGGAUGGCUUGAGUUCGGGAGAGGGAUGCGGAAUUCCAGGUGUAGCGGUGAAAUGCGUAGAUAUCUGGAGGAACACCGGUGGCGAAGGCGGCAUCCUGGACCGAUACUGACGCUGAGGAGCGAAAGCCAGGGGAGCAAACGGGAUUAGAAACCCUGGUAGUCC